UACGUAGGGUGCGAGCGUUAAUCGGAAGUACUGGGCGUAAAGCGUGCGCAGGCGGUUAUUUAAGUCAGGUGUGAAAGCCCUGGGCUUAACCUAGGAAUUGCGCUUGAGACUGGAUAGCUUGGAGUGCGGCAGAGGGAGGUGGAAUUCCACGUGUAGCAGUGAAAUGCGUAGAGAUGUGGAGGAACACCGAUGGCGAAGGCAGCCUCCUGGGCCAGCACUGACGCUCAUGCACGAAAGCGUGGGGAGCAAACAGG
rnacentral:rRNA from 1 species